rnacentral:rRNA from 1 species
GAUCAUGGCUCAGGACGAACGCUGGCGGCGUGCCUAACACAUGCAAGUCGAACGGGGUGAGAUCCUUCGGGAUUUCACUUAGUGGCGAACGGGUGAGUAACGCGUGAGGAACCUGCCUUUCAGUGGGGGACAACAGUUGGAAACGACUGCUAAUACCGCAUAACAUAUUCGGAUCGCAUGAUCUGAAUAUCAAAGCUUUAUGUGCUGAAAGAUGGCCUCGCGUCUGAUUAGCUAGUUGGUGGGGUAACGGCCCACCAAGGCGACGAUCAGUAGCCGGUCUGAGAGGAUGAACGGCCACAUUGGGACUGAGAUACGGCCCAGACUCCUACGGGAGGCAGCAGUGGGGAAUAUUGGGCAAUGGGGGAAACCCUGACCCAGCAACGCCGCGUGAAGGAAGAAGGUCUUCGGGUCGUAAACUUCUAUCCUUGGUGAAGAUAAUGACGGUAGCCAAGAAGGAAGCCCCGGCUAACUACGUG